rnacentral:rRNA from 1 species
GACGAACGCUGGCGGCGUGCUUAACACAUGCAAGUCGAACGGAAAGGCCUCUUUCGGGGGGUACUCGAGUGGCGAACGGGUGAGUAACACGUGAGUAACCUGCCCUUGACUUUGGGAUAACUUCAGGAAACUGGGGCUAAUACCGGAUAGGAGCUCCUGCUGCAUGGUGGGGGUUGGAAAGUUUCGGCGGUUGGGGAUGGACUCGCGGCUUAUCAGCUUGUUGGUGGGGUAGUGGCUUACCAAGGCUUUGACGGGUAGCCGGCCUGAGAGGGUGACCGGCCACAUUGGGACUGAGAUACGGCCCAGACUCCUACGGGAGGCAGCAGUGGGGAAUAUUGCACAAUGGGUGGAAGCCUGAUGCAGCAACGCCGUGUGCGGGAUGACGGCCUUCGGGUUGUAAACCACUUUCGCCUGUGACGAAGCGUGAGUGACGGUAAUGGGUAAAGAAGCACCGGCUAACUACGUG